rnacentral:rRNA from 1 species
GAUGAACGCUGGCGGCGUGCCUAAUACAUGCAAGUCGAGCGAACGGACGAUAAGCUUGUGUCUCUGAUGUUAGCGGCGGACGGGCGAGUAACACGUGGAUAACCUACCUAUAAGACGGGGAUGACUUCGGGAAACCGUAGAUGAUACCGGAUAAUAUUAUGAACCGCAUGGUGCAAAAGAGAAAGACGGUCUUGCUGUCACUUAUAGAUGGAUCCGCGCUGCAUUAGCGAGUUGGUAAGGUAACGGCUUACCAAGGCAACGAUGCGUAGCCGACCUGAGAGGGUGAUCGGCCACACUGGAACUGAGACACGGUCCAGACUCCUACGGGAGGCAGCAGUAGGGAAUAUUCGGCAAUGGGCGAAAGCCUGACGGAGCAACGCCGCGUGAGUGAUGAAGGUCUUCGGAUCGUAAAGCCCUGUUAUUAGGGAAGAACAUAUGUGUAUGUAAAUGCGCACAUCUUGACGGUACCUAAUGAGAAAGCACCGGCUAACUACGUG